UAGGGAAUCUUCGGCAAUGGGGGGAACCCUGACCGAGCAACGCCGCGUGCGUGAAGAAGGUUUUCGGAUCGUAAAGCUCUGUUGUUAUGGAAGAACGAGUGUGAGAAUGGAAAGUUCAUGCUGUGACGGUACUUAACCAGAAAGGGACGGCUAACUACGUGCCAGCAGCCGCGGUAAUACGUAGGUCCCGAGCGUUGUCCGGAUUUAUUGGGCGUAAAGCGAGCGCAGGCGGUUAGAAAAGUCUGAAGUGAAAGGCAGUGGCUCAACCAUUGUAGGCUUUGGAAACUGUUUAACUUGAGUGCAGAAGGGGAGAGUGGAAUUCCAUGUGUAACGGUGAAAUGCGUAGAUAUAUGGAGGAACACCGGUGGCGAAAGCGGCUCUCUGGUCUGUAACUGACGCUGAGGCUCGAAAGCGUGGGGAGCGAACAGG
rnacentral:rRNA from 1 species